AUUUAUNGGGCGUAGAGGGAGCGCAGGCGNUCAGGAAAGUCUGGAGUAAAAGGCUAUGGCUCAACCAUAGUGUGCUCUGGAAACUGUNUGACUUGAGUGCAGAAGGGGAGAGUGGAAUUCCAUGUGUAGCGGUGAAAUGCGUAGAUAUAUGGAGGAACACCAGUGGCGAAAGCGGCUCUCUGGUCUGUCACUGACGCUGAGGCUCGAAAGCGUGGGUAGCGAACAGGAUUAGAUACCCUGGUAGUCCACGCCGUAAACGAUGAGUGCUAGGUGUUAGGCCCUUUCCGGGGCUUAGUGCCGGAGCUAACGCAAUAAGCACUCCGCCUGGGGAGUACGACCGCAAGGUUGAAACUCAAAGGAAUUGACGGGGGCCCGCACAAGCGGUGGAGCAUGUGGUUUAAUUCGAAGCAACGCGAAGAACCUUACCAGGUCUUGACAUCCCGAUGCUAUUCUUAGAGAUAGGAAGUUACUUCGGUACAUCGGAGACAGGUGGUGCAUGGUUGUCGUCAGCUCGUGUCGUGAGAUGUUGGGUUAAGUCCCGCAACGAGCGCAACCCUUAUUGUUAGUUGCCAUCAUUAAGUUGGGCACUCUAGCGAGACUGCCGGUAAUAAACCGGAGGAAGGUGGGGAUGACGUCAAGUCAUCAUGCCCCUUAUGACCUGGGCUACACACGUGCUACAAUGGUCGGUACAACGAGUUGCGAGCCGGUGACGGCAAGCUAAUCUCUGAAAGCCGAUCUCAGUUCGGAUUGGAGGCUGCAACUCGCCUCCAUGAAGUCGGAAUCGCUAGUAGUCGCGGAUCAGCACGCCGCGGUGAAUACGUUCCCGGGCCUUGUACACACCGCCCGUCACACCACGAGAGUUUGUAACACCCGAA
rnacentral:rRNA from 1 species